UACGUAGGCAGCAAGCGUUGUUCGGAAUUACUGGGCGUAAAGCGUGCGUAGGCGGUGCCUCAAGUUUGGUGAGAAAUCUCCCGGCUCAACCGGGAGGGUGCGCCGAAAACUGAGGUGCUCGAGUGUGGGAGAGGUAGGCGGAAUUCCUGGUGUAGCGGUGAAAUGCGUAGAUAUCAGGAGGAACACCGGCGGUGUAGACGGCUUACUGGACCAUAACUGACGCUGAGGCACGAAAGUGUGGGGAGCAAACAGG
rnacentral:rRNA from 1 species